CCCUUAGAUGUCCUGGGCUGCACGCGCGCUACACUGAUGUGUCCAGUAAGCACCUAACCUCUUCCGAAAGGAACGGGUAACCUUUGCAAAGCACAUCGUGAUGGGGAUAGAUUAUUGCAAUUAUUAGUCUUGAACGAGGAAUUCCUAGUAAGCACAAGUCAUCAGCUUGUGUUGAUUACGUCCCUGCCCUUUGUACACACCGCCCGUCGCUCCUACCGAUCGAAGAGUUAGGUGAAUUGUUUUGAUCGAUAAGAUUUGACUAUGGUCAACUCUCGUUGUGAAAUUCUGUGAAUCUGACUGUUUAGAGGAAGGAAAAGUCGUAACA
rnacentral:rRNA from 1 species